rnacentral:lncRNA from 1 species
CUCGAGUUACUUUUUAGAAUUGAAUUCAUAAUUAUGUUACGCGAACGUAUACAUAAUCACAGUAAUAGUCUAAGUCACGCCUAAAGCAAGCUACGAGUGUUCAUUAUUAGAAACCGUAAUCAUUUCACGCAAACGUGUAAAUAAUCAUGAUAAUAAAUUCAAAAUGCGCCUAAAGGUUCGCCUACCCAGGUAUGGUUGACCUAACAUGCUCCUAGCGGAUAAUAUAACAAAAUAAAUAAAUAAAUAAAUAAAUAAAAGGAAACUAGAUAAAAGGGGAAAUUCUAAAUCAUGCUCAUAUUCACUUGAAUUUUCAUUUUUAUGUAUUUGGCCAAGCUCGAUUCCUAGGACAUGUAAACAAUUUAAUUACUAAUAAGCUCGGCCUUUCCCCACUCGCACGGCCCGCAUUCAUCUUUCAAAGCCGAUAGAGUCAAGCAAUGGAGCAUACAAACAGAAGAACAUUCAGUAGAUAAGAACUAAGGAAGGCCUGAAAUAUAAUAAAGAAAAAGUAAGGCAAAGCCAUUAAGAGGAGCCAUUAAAAUAUUUCUAACCAACCCAAUUUUCCUAAUUUUUUGAUAUGUGAGAUCCUAAAGCCCAUAAAUUUAACCCUUAGAACCAACGUCAUACAAACCUUUCUUCACUUUUAUACUUACAAAUUAACCAACAGAGGCCAUACGGUAAUACAUUACCCAAUUAGCAUCUAAAUACGGUCAAAUAAAGCAAAUCAACAAUUGGGCAUUAGCAUUCAAAAUUGAAGGCAAAAGUACAGAUUCCCUACACGACCAUUUCAUCAGCUUUUGAAUAUUUUAACAAGAAAGAGCACAUGUUUAAUCAAAUUCGACCACCAGAAUAUUACUUUGGCGCAUGGGGUUCAAAGGAUCAGUAGGAAUUCUUUGGUCAGGCACAACGAAAAUAACUCUUAGAACAACCAAUGUGACAAGUUUAUAAUAUGAAUGACAUGCUGGACAACAUGACUAGCAGUGCUAUAUUAUGCUUUCAAAAUUUGAUCUAAUAACCAUUGAGACAAGCAAGGUCCUUAAACAAUCGGAAAAGUUAUCUUUCACUUUACGAUCUAAGCAAAUCGAAAGAUCUUCACUACUUGUUACCCAUUCAAAUCAGUUGACGGGAAGCAAACCAACAUGCAGAAAAUCUCAUUUCUGAAAAAAAAACAUGAAGUACCAAACUUUGUUCCGUCCUUAAGAUCGACUCGGAAUCAUAUUUAUCUCAAAUGACGAUUUUCAUAUAUGUAACUUCAUAAUAACUUUUCAAAUCACACGAAGCAUAAUCUUAACAUUAAAGAGUCAAGACAUGGAGAGAACUCAAACAACAAAACCAAGUUAGAUAAGGAAUCUACCACAAACAGAAGAAUCAAGUCAGAUAAGGAGCCUACCACGACGAACUUGAAUUAACCUUUCGAGCACUAUCAACAUUUACAAUAUUUCCAAACAGAAAACUCAUUCUACAUUAUUCAUAAGGAAAUCAGUAGGAAGGUAAUCUAAACCAGGGAAUCAAGCAUAUUUUAAUUUAUUCAAACUCUAACUAAGACACUCACCGAAAGGAAACUCAUGGGGUGACAAUAACCAUCAGCCAAAAUUAGAAAGAGAAAUCGAUUAAACCCCAAACUACAUCUGAUUAGCCUAUCUUAAAAUGGCUCCCCUUUAUGGCUUUGAUUCAUAAUAAAUAUAAAAAUAGAAGGAAGAAGUGAACCUGAAUGCAUCUUUAAUUAAUUCUGCUCGCAAUCAAAUAUGAGUAAAUCCGGCAGCGAAAAUCCACGACAAACACCAGCCAAGCAACAGGAACUAUCAAUCACGAACGGACCUCGAUCGGCGCCGCAGAACUCGAACUCCAAACGCAGCUUCAAUUAGAUUCUAUCCAUGGAACAUAAAUAAGGAACAAGGAGGUCUGUAUGAUUGGAGGUGGCGGAAUUAUAUAGAAAAUCUUUUGGGACAACAAUUUCCACUGUUGAAGUCGCUAGGGACAUCGAUUUAGCGUAUUAGAGUCAUGGACUAACGAGAAAAAUGGUAUCGAUUUGAAUGGGAAAAUGGGUUUAUUAGCUUGUUUGAUAAGAUGGGUUAUGGAAAUGGGAGGCAGAGGCGUGGGGAUUUUGCAGGGGUCCUCCUAGGGAGUGAUCGAUUUUGGGGAAUUGGGGGGUGUCCUUUGGUGUAAACGGCGGAUUCCAAAAGUCUAGGUCUCUAAGGUCUAUUUUAAUUUAGGAGUUAAGGAUUAUUUUAUAGGGUAGGAAUUAUGUUAGGUCAAAUGCGGAAUGGGUAUGAGCUCAAUGUUUUUGGCUUGGGUAAUUUGGAAUUUUUGGGCUUCAAGUUAAGCUGGCCCAGACGAAAUUGAAAGAUCAAAUUUACUUCUUUGCUUUGUUUUUCUUUCGAUUUCAAAAAUCC